UAGAGGAAGUAAAAGUCGUAACAAGGUUUUCCGUAGGUGAACCUGCGGAAGGAUCAUUACAGUGCCCGCGGUUUCGCGCCCCAAAAGGCGCGUUCCGCACCAGGCCACCCUUGUCUACCUUACCACUGUUGCUUCGGCGGGCCCGUCCCCCGAGAGUUCGCUCUCCGGGGGGCGACCCGGGGCCGGCUUCACCGCCGCCCGGGCGAGCGUCCGCCAGAAGACACCUUGAACUCUGUUGAUCAGUGAACGUCUGAGUUUAUGUUAAAUCAUUAAAACUUUCAACAACGGAUCUCUUGGUUCCAGCAUCGAUGAAGAACGCAGCGAAAUGCGAUAAGUAAUGUGAAUUGCAGAAUUCCGUGAAUCAUCGAAUCUUUGAACGCACAUUGCGCCCUCCGGUAUUCCGGGGGGCAUGCCUGUCCGAGCGUCAUUGCACACCUCAAGCCCGGCUUGCGUGAUGGGUGUCGUCCCCCCGGGGACGCGCCCGAAAGGCAAUGGCGGCGUCGCGGUUAUCCGAACGGCCAAAGUGUAUGGGGCUAUGUCACGCACUCUGAGGCCCGGACCGGCGCCAGCCCGAAUCUCAACUUCUUAGGUUGACCUCGGAUCAGGUAGGGAUACCCGCUGAACUUAAGCAUAU
rnacentral:rRNA from 1 species